rnacentral:rRNA from 1 species
CACUCCUACGGGAGGCAGCAGUGGGGAAUAUUGCACAAUGGGCGCAAGCCUGAUGCAGCCAUGCCGCGUGUAUGAAGAAGGCCUUCGGGUUGUAAAGUACUUUCAGCGGGGAGGAAGGCGAUAAGGUUAAUAACCUUGUUGAUUGACGUUACCCGCAGAAGAAGCACCGGCUAACUCCGUGCCAGCAGCCGCGGUAAUACGGAGGGUGCAAGCGUUAAUCGGAAUUACUGGGCGUAAAGCGCACGCAGGCGGUCUGUCAAGUCGGAUGUGAAAUCCCCGGGCUCAACCUGGGAACUGCAUUCGAAACUGGCAGGCUAGAGUCUUGUAGAGGGGGGUAGAAUUCCAGGUGUAGCGGUGAAAUGCGUAGAGAUCUGGAGGAAUACCGGUGGCGAAGGCGGCCCCCUGGACAAAGACUGACGCUCAGGUGCGAAAGCGUGGGGAGCAAACAGGAUUAGAAACCCGGGUAGUCCC